GAUUAGAGUUUGAUCCUGGCUCAGGACGAACGCUGGCGGCGUGCCUAAUACAUGCAAGUCGAGCGGAUUUAUCCUUCGGGAUAAGUUAGCGGCGGACGGGUGAGUAACACGUAGGCAACCUGCCUAUAAGACUGGGAUAACUAUCGGAAACGAUAGCUAAGACCGGAUAACUGAUUUUCUCGCAUGAGAAAAUUAUGAAACACGGAGCAAUCUGUGGCUUAUAGAUGGGCCUGCGGCGCAUUAGCUAGUUGGUAGGGUAACGGCCUACCAAGGCGACGAUGCGUAGCCGACCUGAGAGGGUGAACGGCCACACUGGGACUGAGACACGGCCCAGACUCCUACGGGAGGCAGCAGUAGGGAAUCUUCCGCAAUGGACGCAAGUCUGACGGAGCAACGCCGCGUGAGUGAUGGAGGUUUUCGGAUCGUAAAGCUCUGUUGCCCUAGACGAACAGCAAGAGGAGUAUCUGCCUUUUGUGUGACGGUAUAGGAGAAGAAAGCCCCGGCUAACUACGUGCCAGCAGCCGCGGUAAUACGUAGGGGGCAAGCGUUGUCCGGAAUUAUUGGGCGUAAAGCGCGCGCAGGCGGUCAAUUAAGUUGGGUGUUUAAGCCCGGGGCUCAACCCCGGUUCGCAUCCAAAACUGGUCGACUUGAGUGUAGGAGAGGAAAGUGGAAUUCCACGUGUAGCGGUGAAAUGCGUAGAGAUGUGGAGGAACACCAGUGGCGAAGGCGACUUUCUGGCCUAUAACUGACGCUGAGGCGCGAAAGCGUGGGGAGCAAACAGGAUUAGAUACCCUGGUAGUCCACGCCGUANA
rnacentral:rRNA from 1 species